rnacentral:rRNA from 1 species
UGGGGAAUUUUGGACAAUGGGCGCAAGCCUGAUCCAGCAAUGCCGUGUGCAGGAAGAAGGCCUUCGGGUUGUAAACUGCUUUUGUACGGAACGAAACGGUCCGGGUUAAUACCCUGGGCUAAUGACGGUACCGUAAGAAUAAGCACCGGCUAACUACGUGCCAGCAGCCGCGGUAAUACGUAGGGUGCAAGCGUUAAUCGGAAUUACUGGGCGUAAAGCGUGCGCAGGCGGUUUUGUAAGACAGGCGUGAAAUCCCCGGGCUCAACCUGGGAAUUGCGCUUGUGACUGCAAGGCUGGAGUGCGGCAGAGGGGGAUGGAAUUCCGCGUGUAGCAGUGAAAUGCGUAGAUAUGCGGAGGAACACCGAUGGCGAAGGCAAUCCCCUGGGCCUGCACUGACGCUCAUGCACGAAAGCGUGGGGAGCAAACAGGAUUAGAUACCCUGGUAGUCCACGCCCUAAACGAUGUCAACUGGUUGUUGGGAAUUUACUUUCUCAGUAACGAAGCUAACGCGUGAAGUUGACCGCCUGGGGAGUACGGCCGCAAGGUUG